AGUGAACGCUGGCGGUAGGCCUAACACAUACAAGUCGAACGGCAGCACAGUAAGAGCUUGCUCUUACGGGUGGCGAGUGGCGGACGGGUGAGGAAUACAUCGGAAUCUACUUUUUCGUGGGGGAUAACGUAGGGAAACUUACGCUAAUACCGCAUACGACCUACGGGUGAAAGCAGGGGAUCUUCGGACCUUGCGCGAUUGAAUGAGCCGAUGUCGGAUUAGCUAGUUGGCGGGGUAAAGGCCCACCAAGGCGACGAUCCGUAGCUGGUCUGAGAGGAUGAUCAGCCACACUGGAACUGAGACACGGUCCAGACUCCUACGGGAGGCAGCAGUGGGGAAUAUUGGACAGUGGGCGCAAGCCUGAUCCAGCCAUACCGCGUGGGUGAAGAAGGCCUUCGGGUUGUAAAGCCCUUUUGUUGGGAAAGAAAAGCAGCAGGUUAAUACCCCGCUGUUCUGACGGUACCCAAAGAAUAAGCACCGGCUAACUUCGU
rnacentral:rRNA from 1 species